AACGAACGCUGGCGGCAGGCCUAACACAUGCAAGUCGAGGGGUCCGCAAGGACACCGGCGCACGGGUGCGUAACGCGUGGGAAUGUACCCCUGGGUACGGAACAACGUCGGGAAACUGACGCUAAUACCGUAUAAUGAUUUCGAUCCAAAGAUUUAUCGCCCAGGGAUCGGCCCGCGUCUGAUUAGCUUGUUGGUGAGGUAACGGCUCACCAAGGCGACGAUCAGUAGCUGGUCUGAGAGGAUGAUCAGCCACACUGGGACUGAGACACGGCCCAGACUCCUACGGGAGGCAGCAGUGAGGAAUAUUGCACAAUGGGGGAAACCCUGAUGCAGCCAUGCCGCGUGAGUGAAGAAGGCCUUAGGGUUGUAAAGCUCUUUCAAUCGUGAAGAUAAUGACGGUAGCGAUAGAAGAAGCCCCGGCUAAAUUCGUGCCAGCAGCCGCGGUAA
rnacentral:rRNA from 1 species